UAGGGAAUCUUCCACAAUGGACGCAAGUCUGAUGGAGCAACGCCGCGUGAGUGAAGAAGGUCUUCGGAUCGUAAAACUCUGUUGUUAGAGAAGAACAUGCAGGAGAGUAACUGUUCUUGUAUUGACGGUAUCUAACCAGAAAGCCACGGCUAACUACGUGCCGG
rnacentral:rRNA from 1 species